AGGAAAUGAAAAUUUAAUAAGGAAAAAGAAAUCAAAUAAGGAAACAGAAACAGAAUAAGGAAAAAGAAACCGAAUAAGGAAAUAGAAACCGAAUAAGGAAAUAGAAACCGAAUAAGGAAACAGAAAUCGAAUAAGGAAAUGGAAAUCCAAUAAGGAAAUGAAAAUCCAAUAAGGAAAAAGAAACCGAAUAAGGGAAUAGAAACCGAAAAAGGAAAUGAAUAUUGAAAAAGGAAAAAGAAACCGAAUAAGGAAAUGAAAAUCGAAUCAGGAAAUGGAAUUCGAAUAAGGAAAUAGACAUCGAAUAAGGAAAUGAAAAUCGAGUCAGGAAAAAGAAACCGAAUAAGGAAAUGAUAAUCGAAAAAGGAAAAAGAAAACGAAUAAGGAAACGAAAAAAAAAUAAGGAAAUGAAAAUCGAAUAAGGAAAUAGGAACUGUAUAAGGAAAUGAAAUCGAAUAAGGAAAAAUAAACCGAAUAAGGAAACGAAAAAAAAAAAAAUUGAAAAACUUUUUGAGGAAAAAAAAUUUGAGGAAAAAAAAAAUUUGAGGAAAAAAAAUUUU
rnacentral:lncRNA from 1 species